GCGCCCGUAGCUCAGUUGGAUAGAGCAUCAGCUUGCGGAGCUGAGGGUCGCACGUUCGAGUCGUGCCGGGCGCACCA
rnacentral:tRNA from 2 species